AGAGUUUGAUCCUGGCUCAGGACGAACGCUAGCGGCGUGCUUAACACAUGCAAGUCGUACGGGCAUUAGCAAUAAUGUUAGUGGCGAACGGGUGCGUAACACGUGGGAAAUCUGCCCGGGAGUGGGGAAUAAACGCUCGAAAGGGCGUCUAAUACCGCAUAAUGCAGCGGCCUCGCAUGAGGAUGUUGUUAAAGUAGUAAUACGCUUCCAGAUGAUCCCGCGCCUGAUUAGCUUGUUGGCGGGGUAACGGCCCACCAAGGCGACGAUCAGUAGCCGAUCUGAGAGGAUGACCGGCCACACUGGGACUGAGAUACGGCCCAGACUCCUACGGGAGGCAGCAGUGAGGAAUAUUGCGCAAUGGACGAAAGUCUGACGCAGCAACGCCGCGUGAGUGAUGAAGGUCUUCGGAUCGUAAAGCUCUGUAGCAGGGGAAGAAUUGCCCGAUGAGGGCGUUGACGUUACCCUGAAAGUAAGCACCGGCUAACUCCGUGCCAGCAGCCGCGGUAAUACGGAGGGUGCAAGCGUUGUCCGGAUUUACUGGGUGUAAAGGGCGUGUAGGCGGAUGUGCAAGUCAUAGGUGAAAGUGGGCGGCUUAACCGUUCAAGGGCCUAUGAAACUGCAUAUCUUGAGAGUGUCAGGGGGUAUUGGAAUUCCCGGUGUAGCGGUGGAAUGCGUAGAUAUCGGGAGGAACACCAGUGGCGAAGGCGGAUACCUGGGGCACAUCUGACGCUGAGACGCGAAAGUGCGGGGAGCAAACAGGCUUAGAUACCCUGGUAGUCCGCACCGUAAACGAUGGGCACUAGUCGUCGGGAGAGGUCCUCUCGGUGACGCAGUUAACACAGUAAGUGCCCCACCUGGGGAGUACGCUCGCAAGGGUGAAACUCAAAGGAAUUGACGGGGGCCCGCACAAGCGGUGGAGCAUGUGGUUUAAUUCGAUGCAACGCGAAGAACCUUACCUGGGCUCGAAGUGCGCUUUGUCACCGGUGAAAGCCGGUUAGGUAGCAAUACCGGGGCGCAUAGGUGCUGCAUGGCUGUCGUCAGCUCGUGUCGUGAGAUGUUAGGUUAAGUCCUGCAACGAGCGCAACCCUCGCCCAUAGUUACCAGCGGUUAAAGCCGGGCACUCUAUGGGGACUGCCUCCGUAAAGGAGGAGGAAGGUGGGGAUGACGUCAAGUCCUCAUGGCCCUUAUGUCCAGGGCUACACACGUGCUACAAUGGAUCGCACAGAGGGUAGCAAGACCGCGAGGUGGAGCCAAUCCUUAAAACGGUCCUCAGUUCAGAUUGCACUCUGCAACUCGAGUGCAUGAAGUCGGAAUCGCUAGUAAUCGCUAAUCAGCAGGUAGCGGUGAAUACGUUCCCGGGCCUUGUACACACCGCCCGUCAAACCAUGGGAGUUGGUAGUACCCGAAGCCGCCGAGCUAACCGAAAGGAGGCAGGCGUCUAAGGUAAGACUGAUGACUGGGGUUAAGUCGGAACAAGGUA
rnacentral:rRNA from 1 species